rnacentral:rRNA from 1 species
GAUCAUGGCUCAGGAUGAACGCUAGCUACAGGCUUAACACAUGCAAGUCGAGGGGAAACGAUAUUGGAAGCUUGCUUCCGAUAGGCGUCGACCGGCGCACGGGUGAGUAACGCGUAUCCAACCUGCCCACACUUGGGGAUAACCUUGCGAAAGUAAGACUAAUACCCAAUGACGUCUCUAGAAGACAUCUGAAAGAGAUUAAAGAUUCAUCGGUCAUGGAUGGGGAUGCGUCUGAUUAGGUUGUUGGCGGGGUAACGGCCCACCAAGCCAUCGAUCAGUAGGGGUUCUGAGAGGAAGGUCCCCCACAUUGGAACUGAGACACGGUCCAAACUCCUACGGGAGGCAGCAGUGAGGAAUAUUGGUCAAUGGGCGAGAGCCUGAACCAGCCAAGUAGCGUGCAGGACGACGGCCCUAUGGGUUGUAAACUGCUUUUAUACGGGAAUAAAGUGGGCCACGCGUGGUCUUUUGCAUGUACCGUAUGAAUAAGGACCGGCUAAUUCCGUG